GCCCAGCCGGCUCAGUCAGUAGAGCGUGCGACUCUUGAUCUCGGGUUAGUGAGUUUGAGCCCCAUGUUGGGCA
rnacentral:tRNA from 1 species